UGUAAGCCUGCGAAGGUGUGCUGUGAGGCAUGCUGGAGGUAUCAGAAGUGCGAAUGCUGACAUAAGUAACGAUAAAGCGGGUGAAAAGCCCGCUCGCCGGAAGACCAAGGGUUCCUGUCCAACGUUAAUCGGGGCAGGGUGAGUCGACCCCUAAGGCGAGGCCGAAAGGCGUAGUCGAUGGGAAACAGGUUAAUAUUCCUGUACUUGGUGUUACUGCGAAGGGGGGACGGAGAAGGCUAUGUUAGCCGGGCGACGGUUGUCCCGGUUUAAGCAUGUAGGCUGGUUAUCCAGGCAAAUCCGGAUAAUCAAGGCUGAGGUGUGAUGACGAGGCACUACGGUGCUGAAGUAACAAAUGCCCUGCUUCCAGGAAAAGCCUCUAAGCAUCAGGUAACAUCAAAUCGUACCCCAAACCGACACAGGUGGUCAGGUAGAGAAUACCAAGGCGCUUGAGAGAACUC
rnacentral:rRNA from 1 species